GUGGCCGCCGCCUCCUCGGCAUCUGCAACAACCCUAAAUCGUUCUCCUCCGCGGCCCAGUCCGCUGCAACGCCGCUGCUCUCCUUGCCAGCGGGAUCAGAGUCGGUGGCCACCGUCCCCACCCUCGCCCGCUUGAUCGUAACUCAAGGAAGAUAUGGCCAAUGUGCGCGAGGAGUGUAAGGAGUACCAUGAGAACGCAAGCAAGACGUUGCUAGCGAGGAUGACGGAUUCAAGUUCUACAACAGUUAUGCCCUUUAGAAAGGAUAUAGUGUACGGAGAAGCUACAUUGAGUGGGAUGGAGCCAACAAGGAGAUAAUUCUGAUGAAAUUUGUCUAUAGUCGCGAAGGUUGUCGUGAAGAGAAGCACAUGAAGAGGAAGAGAGAAGAUAGGAUAUGAUACAAAUCGUCAACGAGCAGACCAUGAGAAGAAGAAGGCGUGCAACUAAUGGAAAUAGAGCACAAACUUGACGCCAAACUAAUUACCAUAAAUGAGGUCUAAGUAACUGUUAUCGGUUACAAAUCCUUGUGGCCGUGUGCUUUAGUGGUGUGGCAUGCAAAUGUACUGCACACACAUAGGUUUCAGUUUUCAGGUUUAUCACAAACAUUGAUACUUCCAUCGUUUGUAUCUCAGAUUUUCAGUUUGCACGUGUAAAUCUGCUACUGUAAUCUGUUAAAAAUAACUGCUGGUUUGAUGAUCUGAGUCCAUUCAAUCUUAGCAUAAACAUUGUAUACAA